rnacentral:rRNA from 1 species
GGAUUAGAUACCCUGGUAGUCCACACCGUAAACGCUGUCUACUAGCUGUGUGUGAAUUUAAUUCGUGCGUAGCGAAGCUAACGCGCUAAGUAGACCGCCUGGGGAGUACGGUCGCAAGAUUAAAACUCAAAUGAAUUGACGGGGGCCCGCACAAGCGGUGGAGCAUGUGGUUUAAUUCGAUGCAACGCGAAGAACCUUACCUACACUUGACAUUUAGCGAACUUUCCAGAGAUGGAUUGGUGCCUUCGGGAACGCUAGGACAGGUGCUGCAUGGCUGUCGUCAGCUCGUGCCG